rnacentral:rRNA from 1 species
UAAUACAUGCAAGUCGAACGCUUUGUGGUUCAACUGAUUUGAAGAGCUUGCUCAGAUAUGACGAUGGACAUUGCAAAGAGUGGCGAACGGGUGAGUAACACGUGGGAAACCUACCUCUUAGCAGGGGAUAACAUUUGGAAACAGAUGCUAAUACCGUAUAACAAUGACAACCGCAUGGUUGUUAUUUAAAAGAUGGUUCUGCUAUCACUAAGAGAUGGUCCCGCGGUGCAUUAGCUAGUUGGUAAGGUAAUGGCUUACCAAGGCGAUGAUGCAUAGCCGAGUUGAGAGACUGAUCGGCCACAAUGGGACUGAGACACGGCCCAUACUCCUACGGGAGGCAGCAGUAGGGAAUCUUCCACAAUGGGCGAAAGCCUGAUGGAGCAACGCCGCGUGUGUGAUGAAGGGUUUCGGCUCGUAAAACACUGUUGUAAGAGAAGAAUGACAUUGAGAGUAACUGUUCAAUGUGUGACGGUAUCUUACCAGAAAGGAACGGCUAAAUACGUGCCAGCAGCCGCGGUAAUACGUAUGUUCCAAGCGUUAUCCGGAUUUAUUGGGCGUAAAGCGAGCGCAGACGGUUAUUUAAGUCUGAAGUGAAAGCCCUCAGCUCAACUGAGGAAUUGCUUUGGAAACUGGAUGACUUGAGUGCAGUAGAGGAAAGUGGAACUCCAUGUGUAGCGGUGAAAUGCGUAGAUAUAUGGAAGAACACCAGUGGCGAAGGCGGCUUUCUGGACUGUAACUGACGUUGAGGCUCGAAAGUGUGGGUAGCAAACAGGAUUAGAUACCCUGGUAGUCCACACCGUAAACGAUGAGUGCUAGGUGUUUGAGGGUUUCCGCCCUUAAGUGCCGCAGCUAACGCAUUAAGCACUCCGCCUGGGGAGUACGACCGCAAGGUUGAAACUCAAAGGAAUUGACGGGGACCCGCACAAGCGGUGGAGCAUGUGGUUUAAUUCGAAGCAACGCGAAGAACCUUACCAGGUCUUGACAUCCCUUGACAACUCCAGAGAUGGAGCGUUCCCUUCGGGGACAAGGUGACAGGUGGUGCAUGGUUGUCGUCAGCUCGUGUCGUGAGAUGUUGGGUUAAGUCCCGCAACGAGCGCAACCCUUAUUACUAGUUGCCAGCAUUCAGUUGGGCACUCUAGUGAGACUGCCGGUGACAAACCGGAGGAAGGUGGGGAUGACGUCAAAUCAUCAUGCCCCUUAUGACCUGGGCUACACACGUGCUACAAUGGCGUAUACAACGAGUUGCCAACCCGCGAGGGUGAGCUAAUCUCUUAAAGUACGUCUCAGUUCGGAUUGUAGGCUGCAACUCGCCUACAUGAAGUCGGAAUCGCUAGUAAUCGCGGAUCAGCACGCCGCGGUGAAUACGUUCCCGGGUCUUGUACACACCGCCCGUCACACCAUGAGAGUUUGUAACACCCAAAGCCGGUGGGGUAACCUUCGGGAGCCAGCCGUCUAAGGUGGAC